UGCAGUGAGCCACGCCACUGCACUCCAGCGUGGGUGACAAGAGCGAAACUCCGUUUCAAACAAACAAAAAAAAAGAACUUCCUGCUUCAAAACACUCCUUGCCAUCUUGUACUAUCUUCCUCAUUCAUACACAAAGUAAAAAUCCUUGGCUUGAUCUCCAACAUGCCACUGACUAGAAAGUGGAAAUCCCAAGAUCUGCAUGUUUAGGGAAAAACAGAGAGAUCUGACGUGACCUUUAGGUUAGGCUACAUGUCCCUACCUAGGUUUACUGGGGCACUAGACAUAUAUUUAGCUAGGACUCUCAGAUGCAAGUGAACAAAUCUAAUAGGAAGUACCUUAGGGGGUGGGGGAAAUUUUAUUGGCUCAUAUAAUCAAAUAAUGCAAAGGGCGGGAAUGUAGCUAUUCUUGGAGACUUACUAGAACUGAAUUAUUUACCAUUUGGACUUUAUAUCUUGCCUCUGCUUUCCUCAGCAAGACGGCCUCCUCUCAGACCAGCAUCCUCUAGAAGAUUGGAGUCAUGGGCACUGGCAUCUUUCCGCUUCAACUUCAGGUAAAAGAGUCUUUUUUCUUAAUUUCUAUUUGGAAAAUCUCAAAAGGAUCCUGAAUGACCACAGUUACAUAAUCUGCCCAUCCCUGGCAGAGCUGGGUAAAGAAAUAGUUCCCAAAAAGAAGUAGGGAAUGCUGUCAGCAGGAGAAGGGAGGGGUUCUAGAGACACAAAACAAAAAGUACACAUUACUGUAAUUAUCAAAUACUAGCCCAACUAACAACAAAGUCCUUCUGUAUUACUUUGUUCCCUCUGCUUAAAACCUUCGGUAACUUUAUGAAGGCAAUGUGACUGGGCUGAGUCAAGAUUUCUGGAAUUUCUGGAAUCCUGAAGUUAAAAUCAAUAUUUCACCUGCGCUUCUAGCGCAGGUCAAGAAAUGAAUAUAAACUUUAGAAUGUUUAGGAUGGUUUGGAAUGCUUUCGAUGCAUAUGCUUUAAAAAAAAUAACAAAAAGGUGACAAAAUCUGAUUAUCUAAUUAAUUAGGACUCUUUUUGUUGUUGUUGUCUAUUAAAAGAGAAAAAAUACAGACUGGCUGAAGCCAAAAUAAAGCUAUGGGCUCACAUAACUGAAAAUUCCAGGGAUAAUUUCACAUCAGACACAGUUAGGUCCUGGGGUUCAAAGAGUGUUCUCAGAAUCCAGUCUCCUUGUAGUCAUCUCUUGUCUUUGUGUUCCUCUGUCUUGGCUCCUUUCACAGAUAGAUUGUACCCCCACUCUGACUAUAUGGCUGCCUACAGCUCCAAGCUUCCACUCUAUCCUCUUACCAAUCCGCAGUGGAAAUAACUUGCAUCUUUUCCUAAAGUUCCAAUAAAAAUCCUAGAAUUGGGUCUAAUUGCUUUUGAUGAUCUUGGCUUGGGCUAUGUCUCUGGCGGGGUGGAGUCAACCCCACUGAAACCACAUGAACUCGGAGAAGGAACCUGCAAUUCCCUCUGUUGAGUCAGGGUGCUUUUAUUAGAGAAAGGGCAAGUGAUCCCUGGGAAAAUGAAAAUGAUCAAUCUCUGAUAUGCAGAUAAUUUGGGAACAAACAAACACACUAUAAUUUCC
rnacentral:lncRNA from 1 species